rnacentral:rRNA from 1 species
UGGGGAAUAUUGCACAAUGGAGGGAACUCUGAUGCAGCGACGCCGCGUGAGUGAUGAAGGAAUUCGUUUCGUAAAACUCUGUUCUAUGGGUAGAAAAGGACUGUACCAUAGGAGAAAGCUCCGGCUAAAUACGUGCCAGCAGCCGCGGUAAUACGUAUGGAGCGAGCGUUGUCCGGAAUUAUUUGGCGUAAAGGGUGCGCAGGCGGCUUUACAAGUUGGAUGUGAAAUAUUGUGGCUCAACCACAAACGUGCAUCCAAAACUGCAAAGCUUGAGUUAAGGAGAGGUAAGUGGAAUUCCUGGUGUAGCGGUGGAAUGCGUAGAUAUCAGGAGGAAUACCGGUGGCGAAGGCGACUUACUGGACUUAAACUGACGCUCAGGCACGAAAGCGGGGGGAGCAAACAGG